UGUCCAGUAGUGUCAGCCUCAAUGCCCUAACUGACUCAUCUGAGGUAUAACCUUGGCUGUGCUAUGGCUGCCCAAAUUCCUUUAGUUCCUGCCUAUCCAUUUUACAAGUUGGUUCUCCAACCUUGCUGGUGAUCCUCUGGGCUACUUGAUAUCCCUUCAGAAUUUCAUUUAUGUUUAAGUUAGCCAGAGUUGCUUUCUGUUGUGUCUAACUGGUGAUGUUGACUAGUCACAUAGUACCCAGCAUGUUCUCUCUAAAUGGUGGUUCCCAGACAUUCAAGACUUCCUGUCUCAGGUCCAGGCUCAGAAGACACAAACAAACAAGAAACUACGUUUGGUUGUUCCAGCAUAAAACCUUGGGUUUGCAUUGGACAAGAUUGGCUUACUUUGGCCGUGAGGUCGAGGAUGGUGUUGUGUGGGGGGUAAGUCUGAAGCCAACAGCAAUUACAAGAAGAAGAGGAAGAAGAAGAAGGAAGAGGAGGAGGAGGAGGAGAAGAACAAGAAGAAGGAGGAGGAGGAGAAGGAGAAGGAGAAGAAUCGUUAAGUAGCAGCUUUAUACCCAGGCUUCUUGUUACAUAAUGGGGAGGUGAGUGGUUACCCUACAAUUUUAUAGGAGUUAAUGAACUAUUUGGGCUUACAUGCACUCUGUCUGGCU